GAUGAACGCUGACAGAAUGCUUAACGCAUGCAAGUCUUUGGCGAAGCUGUGCUUGCACAGCCUAGCCAAGGCGGACGGGUGAGUAACGCGUAAGGAACUUGCCCUGCAGUCAGGGAUAACAGACGGAAACGACUGAUAAGACCUGGUAAAGUCAGGCGGACUCAUGUCCAGCCUGAUGAAAAGAGAUGCUGCAGGAGAGCCUUGCGCCCUAUUAGCUUGUUGGUGGGGUAACGGCCCACCAAGGCGAUGAUAGGUAGCCGGCCUGAGAGGGUGGACGGCCACAAGGGGACUGAGAUACGGCCCUUACUCCUACGGGAGGCAGCAGUGGGGAAUAUUGGACAAUGGGGGCAACCCUGAUCCAGCAAUUCUGUGUGCACGAUGAAGGUUUUCGGAUUGUAAAGUGCUUUCAGCAGGGAAGAAAAAAAUGACGGUACCUGCAGAAGAAGCGACGGCUAAAUACGUG
rnacentral:rRNA from 1 species